GUUCCCUGAGCACAGUGAUUUUUCACGGGUUAUUACGAAGUUCCUCACAGCACUUUCUAUUUCUUGAAGCCUCCCUGGUACUGGUUUUGGGGAAGAUCAGAUUUCCUCUCCACUGAGGGAGAUGAAGAGGAGAAGAUUUCUGAGGAAGCAAAGUCACUAGAAUCCAGAUUUGGACCCCAGUAUCAUAACACUGCCCUACAGAGCUACAGUGAGGAACAGCCUUUGAAUGGUAUGGUAGAGAACUCAGCAAAGGAUUACACGUGACUUUAACUUAUCAAACUAAGUAUUAUAAUAAACUUCUGAUUAUUCCUGAGACGGAGCAGAGAAAGAAAAAUCCUCCUGGAUGCUGUUUUUCCUUUCCAGAAUCCAGAUUUGGACCCCAGUAUCAUAACGUUGCCCUACAGAACUACAGCGAGGAGCAGCCUUUGAAUGUGUCGGUGAACGCUGAUUUGAUCCAAGGGAACACAGCUGAAGAAAUCAAAAAAGAAGAUAUUAAAGACAGUGCAAUUAUUGCUGUGUCAUCUACAGCUCUCGCCAUCUACCUAAUAUUUAUGCUUUCUUUAUGUGUGGUUCUUAGAAGACGCAGAAUACAAAACGGCCAUAACAUCACACUUUGCCACCCCUACCCAACAACAGCAAUACAGCUGUUGGCGCUACUGACACGGGGAAGGAAAGUGCUCUGACCCAGAGGUCAGACGUCGACGCAGGUUCUGCAGAGAACUCCUCUUGAGAAAUUUUAAGAACUGGAGCAUGGAAAACUGGGGUUUCCAGGUCACAGGCCAAAUGCAACUGAUUUAGAAAAACUGCUUGGCUGCGGUCUUCUGAAGCCAGCUCAAAAUGCAGGAACCUUUCCGUUACUUUUCAUGAUCCUUCAUAUACAAGAAGUUAUGCAUUUUGAAAUUAUUUCCACCCCACAAUAUAGAAAUACAAAGUAGUUAUGCGGUUUCUUCAUUCUGAUAUCUAGUCAUUAAUAGAUUUAUUUUUUCCAGCCACUGGUACUAGCCAUCAGGCGGCUGUUAGCAGCCCAUUUCCAGUUAGUUUCUUCAUUCUUUUUAUUGUCAUUACUUCCACGUUUUCGGCAUUUUGAAGAUGUCCUCGACUACCUGAAAUUAAAGUGUUGCCUUGGGGAUCGCACUCAAGCUCACUCCAUAUCUCUGUGUUGACAGUGUGGAUGAAUGACUGAAUCAGCAGGAGAAGAGUGCAGAACAGCAUAUGAAAGUGAUGGUGCUUUCACAGAAUCAUAACAGUUGGGAAAGACCUCCAAGGUCGCCCAGUCAUCCCAUCACUGCCAUGCCCACUAAACCACCUCCCUCAGUGCCAUAUUUACCCUCUUCUUGAACACCUGCAGGGAUGAUGACUCCACCACCUCCCUGGGCAGGCUGUUCCAAUGCCUUACUGCUCCUUCUGAGAUUUUUCCCCAUAUCCAAUCUGUGUUGACUUGAUUUCCCAAACUAAACUUGUUUUUGAUUCUGCAAGCCAUCCCGUGAAUGCGUUCAUGAGAUUAGAAUGCUGGCUUUCCUAAUGGGAGAAUUUCCUGGGGAGAAGUUGUAUGCAGGCAUUUCUUCUUUUUAUAUGCUUUACUACCUCUGAUCAUGUUCCUGAUAAUUUCAAACUGUAGGUAGCACUCAACUGCAAAUGGUUACCUUCACAUUCUAUGUCACAGCCAGCUCCACUUGUCUGAAAUGCUUUUCUUCUU
ensembl:lncRNA